rnacentral:lncRNA from 1 species
CCCACGGCAGCGUCCCCAGCUCCGAGCCCCGCGUCAGGGUCGCUUGCGCCCCUGCCUCCUGCACUGUGGCCAGGCUGGGCCCCCUGCUGCAGCUCGGGGGUCUUGUCGCGUCUGCUCACGGGGUACCCGCAGUGACGCCCGUGACCAGGGCGGCUACAGAUGCCUCCCCAGGGAUUGGUGUCAUUUGAGGACGUAGCCGUGGACUUCACUUGGCAGGAAUGGCAGGAGCUGGAUGCUGCCCAGAGGACCCUCUACAGGGAUGUGAUGCUGGAGAACUACAGCAGCCUGGUGUCCUUGGGGCACUGUGUAACCAAACCGGAGUUGAUCUUGAGGUUGGAGCAUGGAUUCCGGCCAUGGAGCAUCGGAGGAGACGCUUCUGUCUGGAGUCUCCCAGGUGUUCUUGAAGUGUAUACUCCAGAUGAGAGUUGCCUGGAAAAUCCAGAGAGUCAUAUGUGGCCAGUGGGAAGCAUCAGCAGAAAUCUUUCAAAUAAAGAGAUGAUUGAAAUUCCAGAAGAAAAUGUUGGAUUCCCUGGAACUAGAGUUAAUAGAUGGUUGUGGGUAAUAUGGACACUGAGAACUGAGCCUAGGUCUUCUGCAGAAACAGCAAGUACUCUUCACUACCGAGCCGAUGCUUCAGCCCAUGCCACUGGUGUUUUAGUUUGCAUUUACAUUGAUUUCUCUAAUUUCUAAACAUAUUGAGGGUAAUUUAUGAUAUUAAACACUUAUAUGCAAUGU